CGUGUACGUACAAGCAGUGGGAGCACGCUUAGGCGUGUGACUGCGUACCUUUUGUAUAAUGGGUCAGCGACUUAUAUUCUGUAGCAAGGUUAACCGAAUAGGGGAGCCGAAGGGAAACCGAGUCUUAACUGGGCGUUAAGUUGCAGGGUAUAGACCCGAAACCCGGUGAUCUAGCCAUGGGCAGGUUGAAGGUUGGGUAACACUAACUGGAGGACCGAACCGACUAAUGUUGAAAAAUUAGCGGAUGACUUGUGGCUGGGGGUGAAAGGCCAAUCAAACCGGGAGAUAGCUGGUUCUCCCCGAAAGCUAUUUAGGUAGCGCCUCGUGAAUUCAUCUCCGGGGGUAGAGCACUGUUUCGGCAAGGGGGUCAUCCCGACUUACCAACCCGAUGCAAACUGCGAAUACCGGAGAAUGUUAUCACGGGAGACACACGGCGGGUGCUAACGUCCGUCGUGAAGAGGGAAACAACCCAGACCGCCAGCUAAGGUCCCAAAGUCAUGGUUAAGUGGGAAACGAUGUGGGAAGGCCCAGACAGCCAGGAUGUUGGCUUAGAAGCAGCCAUCAUUUAAAGAAAGCGUAAUAGCUCACUGGUCGAGUCGGCCUGCGCGGAAGAUGUAACGGGGCUAAACCAUGCAC
rnacentral:rRNA from 1 species